rnacentral:lncRNA from 1 species
GUUCAAACCCUGAUGAUGAGUUGCUCGAGAAAAAGACUGAGAUUACCAAUGAUCCCACUAUUGAAGAAGAACCUCUGAACACCCAAGGAGCUGAAAAGAAGAAGUCAAAGAAGAGGAAGAUUAAAAACUCAGAUGCAACUAAAAGUAGUCGAAAGAAAACCUCGGAUGAGAGUCUAAAGUUAUGUGGAGGAGUAAAGGUUAAUGUUGCUACUGAAUCUUGUGCAAAAGCAAAAGGUAACUUCUGAUUACUUGCUGAUGGAAUAUAUAUAUUGAUGUUGUGAUACUUAUUAUGAGAUGUUAUUGGAAAUUAUCAGUUUAUUUAGCUUUGAUUAUAACAUAUGAUUUUUUGUAGACAUUGUAAGCAGUGAUGGCAUUGGUGAUGUUGGAGAGAAUCAACAAACUUUUUCAAACACUGAUGAUGAGUUGCUUGAGAAACAGACAGAGAUUACCAAUGAUCCCACUAUUGAAGAAGAACCUCUGAACACCCAAGUAGCUGAGAAGAAGAAGUCAAAGAAGAGGAAGAUUAAAAACUCAGAUGCAACUAAAAGUAGUCGAAAGAAAACCUCGGAUGGGAGUCUAAAGUUAUGUGGAGGAAAAAAGGUUAAUGUUGCUACUGAAUCUUGUGCAAAAGGAAAAGGUAACUUCUGAUUUCCCUUCUUGCUGAUGGAAUAUAUAUUGAUGUUGUGAUACUUAUUAUGAGAUGUUAUUGGAAGUUAUCAGUUUAUUUAGCUUUGAUUAUAACAUAUGAUUUUCUUAGACUUUGUAAGCAGCGAGAGAGAUGGCAUUGACGAUAUUGGAGAGAAUCAACAAACUUUUUCAAACACUGAUGAUGAGUUGCUUGAGAAAAAGGCAGAGAUCACCAACGACCCCACUAUUGAAGAAGAACCUCUAAACACCCAAGUAGUUGAGAAGAAGAAGUCAAAGAAGAGAAAGAUUAAAAACUCAGAUGCAAAUAAAAGUAGUCGAAAGAAAACCUCGGAUGAGAGUCUAAAGUUAUGUGGAGGAGUAAAGGUUAAUGUUGCUACUGAAUCUUGUGCAAAAGGAAAAAGUAACUUCUCAUUUCUUGCUGAUGGAAUAUAUAUUGAUGUUAUGAUACUUAUUAUGAGAUGUUAUUGGAAAUUAUCAGUUUAUUUACCUUUGAUUAUAACAUAUGAUUUUCUUAGAC